AAAUAAUUAAAAAAGAAAAACAAACCCAAUCUUAAAAACAUACUUAAGGGUGUAUCUAUACUUUAAGGUUUCAAUCAACCAAAUCCCCAAAUUCAAUGGGGAUAAUUCAACGGUUAAAAUAUGCCUAUAGUCCCUAAACAAGUACAGGGACUAAUUUCAUAAUUCUUUAAAAGUAUAGGGACUAUAAGCACAUUUUAACCUAAUUCAACGCUUGGGAAAAAGUAAAUUUACCUCAGCAGCAAGGUAUUCAAGAACAGCAGCAAGGUAAACCGGAGCACCGGUUCCCACACGUUGAGAGUAUCGCCCUUUCUUCAAGUAUCGGCCAAUUCGACCAACGGGAAACUGUAAUCCGGCUUUCACCGAACGAGAAACCGGCUUCUUCUUUGGACCGCCGCCUUUCCUUCCUCCAGCUCCUUUCUUCACCUUUGAUCCGGCAUCCAUCACUUCAAAUACAAAUUGGAGGAAAAAAUCGAAAACGGAAAUGAAAUUUCGCAGUAAAAUUUUCUCGAGAAAAUGUUUGUGAUUUCUUAUCGGAAAAUUUGGUUAUAUUUAUAUGCGAGGUGAGAAAAAUGGGAGACAUUUGGCUUACGGAUUUGGAAAUUUUGAGCCGCUUGAUUGGUAGUUUAAUCGACGGCGGAUAAUAAUCUUGUUUGGCGAUCCUCGUGAAAUGGAACGAUCCAAUCAACUUGUUAGAAAGCGUUAGAUCUAUUAAUAAGUAAUUAUUUGGGUCAAUUUUACAUAUAGUCCCUCAACUAUUAAUUGAUUUCCAUUUUGAUCACUUAAGUUUAAUUUUUUUAUCAUUAACAUUAUCGAAAUUACCAAAUAAUUACCACCAUCCGUAUACCAAAUACUUACCCUAAUGCAUUAAUAAAAUUAUUUUCAUUUAAAUAAUAAACAAUUUAAAAUAGUACACUACACAACUUAUAACUCAAUAUUCAUAUGUUUUUAUUUUAAGCACUGAUUUUUUUUUUUUGCAAAAAGGGCACAAUUGUUAGCAAUAUUUUCAUUUUACUCACUCUAGGUUAUAAAGGUCGACAAAAAUCCUAUCUACAAUGCCAUAUCUUUUUGUUUUCCACAUAUGUAUAUAAUUUCCACCUCUGAUUCCCAUCCUCAUAUCCCUCAAUCUUCAUCUUCAAACACAGCCUUCCACAUUCUAGUCCUCUAACUCAAACCAGCUCCAUGCACAAAAAAUUUCAGUCAUUGUUACUAUCAUCCAAUGCUAAAAUCGACCACCAUCUAUACCACAUCAACCACUGCCUAACCCCAUUACCACCAUCACUUGUCGUAACAGUAACCAAAUAAAAAACCCCCAAACAACCCAAUAACAAUAAACAUCCACAUAAAAAAUACCUAAUUUCUAAUCAAUAAGAGGGAGAGAAGGGGAACAGAGGGGGAGGGAGGGAGGGAGAGAGAGUGUGGGGGGGGGGAGAAGAAGAAGAAAAAUAAGGAGUGAGAAAAAGAAACACAAGAGAAGAAGAAACCCCUUUAAGGUUUAUGAUGGCGGACGACAGUUAACCUAAAUGAAGUAAAUGUGACACAUCACGUGUAGUUAUCUGGUUAGUCUAUUAGCCACGUCAGUUUUUAACAAUACAAAUAAAUGAAAAUUUCAAUAGAAAUGAUCAGUUUGCUUUUUGAUCUAAUAUAUAGGUACUAAUUUGCACAUUUUUUAAAUAAAUGAGACAAAAUACAAUCUGUUUCCUUGGACAAAAACCUCCAUAUUAAGAUUGUAAUGGCAAAUAUUGUUGCAUUUGGAGUUACGAAAUGAUUGUAAUGGUUGAAAGUAUUAAUUUAGCUUAAAUAAAAUACAAUGAAUCAUAACUUUAGUUGACUAUCGUCUGCAAAAAUUGUGGGUAGUAUAUGAAUAACUUAAAAGCUUUUUGAAUAAACCCAACAAUAGCUCAAUCUAUUUUAAGUUGAUUGUACCCGUACCAUCUAACAAUUUUGUUCAUUAGGAAACCAGUUUCAAAUGGCCCCGAUUCUAAUCUCGGUGGAGGAGGUCUGUAUUCCCUUAGUUUGGCAGCGUUAACGAAAAUAGUCGAUCCAUGCAAGAACUUUACAUUUCUCAAAAACGAUGUAGAUUAACUACUAGAUUACAUUUCAAAUAAAUAUUUAUAUAUAAAGAGAUUUUCAAAUUUUAAAAAAAUUAUCGUUGUCACCUGUUAAUUAGAUUAUUUUCUGUUAUCUUAGUUAGGAGAUUUAGUCAAAUUAGUAUUAAAUAAUUAUCCUAAUUUAUUGGUUAUUUUGUUGAGUAAGAGUGCUAGUAUUUAAAGGUUGUCAAUCUCUUAAGAAUCUGCAAAACUAUUACAACAGACUAUUACAACAGAUUAUUUUGUUCUUUUAUAUAAACUCUAAAAUAUAACGUUGAUAAUGAGGACAAAUUUUUAUUCAAUCAAAAAUAUAUUAAGUUCUCAAUUACUAUUAAAAUCUAACAUUUGGUAUCAGAGCUUGAAGAGGAUGACAUUUGAUAACAACCAUCAAUUUCUCGUUUAGAUAAUUUUUAUGAUUACUGGACUAUGUUGAUGAAGAAUUUAUUAAGGUCCAAAGAAUAUUAGGACAUUGUGGAGAAUCGUGUAGCUAAAUCAACAACAAGAGAAAUGUCUACUGAAGCACAAGCCAAGGCUUUGGCAGAUUGAAAACUCAAAGAUUUAAAAGCAAAAAAUUAAUUAUUUCAAGCAACUAAUCAUUCAAUUUUAGAGACAAUUCUCCAAAAGGAUACUUCCUAGCAGAUUUGGGAUUCAAUGAAAAAGAAGUUUUCGGCAUCAAAUAGGGUUAAGCAAAUAUUGCUUCGAUCAUUGACAAGAGAAUUUGAACUUCUUCAAAUGAAAUCAAGAGAAUUUGUCAUAGAUUUCAUUAGAAGAACAAUGGGAAUUGUAAACAAGAUGUGCUUUCAUGGUGUAGACAUGAAAGAUGCUAAAAUUGUGUUGAAGAUAUUGAGAUCACUAACUCCAAAAUCGAAUUAUGUUUUUUGUUCCAUUGAAGAAUCUAAAAAUGUUAAUUUGUCCAUUGAUGAUGAGCUACAAAGCUCUUUAAUUUGUCAUGAGCCCAAAGUCAAUCUCUCAAAGCGUGCACCGAAUCCUCAAAUACAAAAGGAAGUGGUCGUGGAAGGGGAGGACGUGGUCGUGAGAAUAAAGACAACAGAUCUUAUAAUUCCACUCAUGCUUCUAAAAUAGAAGAUUCCUAAUAAAGAGGAAGAGGUUAUUUUGACAAACUUAAGAUUGAAUGUUAUAGAUGUGGGAAUUAUGAUCACUAAAAGAAUGAAUGAUAUACAAAGCUAUCAAAAGAAAAAGGAAGAAAAGUCUAAAUUUGUCGAACUGAAGGAAGAGGGGACACUUUUGAUGGCCUUUUACGCAAUAGAGGAGUUCGAUCAACAAACUUGGUAUGUGGAUACAGGCUGCAACAAUCACAUGAUCGGUUGUAAGUCUUUUUUUACUAAAUUAGAUGAAAGUUCUCAUACAAUCAUGAAUUUUGGGGAUAAGUUAACUAUUUAAGUGAUGGGAAAAGGUGAUAUUCAGAUCAAAACCAUGAAUGUUUUUAUUGAAACAAUUUCAAAUGUUUUUUUAUGUUCCUAAUUUGAAAACUAAUCUUUUGAGUGCUCGUCAGUUACAAGAUAAAGUAUACAAUAUCACAAUUUUCAAUGGAGAAUGUGAGGUGUAUGAUUUGAAAAAAGGGUCCAUUGUUGUUGUUAAAAUGAGUGCAAACAUGUUAUUUCCUUUGAAGAUUAAAACACUUCAUGAUUGUCUGCUAGCUAAAAUAGAUGAUUCACCAUGGAAGUGACAGUAUAGAUUAAAGACUAUUCAACAAAAGCAAAUGGUUAUUGGUCUUCCUGUAAUUAUUCAUCCAUCAAAGCCCUGUGAAGAAUGUAUUGUUGAAAAGCAGCAUAAGGAUGCUUUCUCAGGUGAAAAAGUGGAAAGAACUCAAGUUGUGCUUGAAUUAGUUCACUCAUACUUAUGUGGACCAAUCAAUCCAACUUCCAAUGGUAAAAAAAAUAUAUUUUCAUUUAUUAAUGAUUUUAGUCAGAAAGCUUGGGUGUACUUUUUGUAGGAAAAAUCUAAAGCAUUUGAUGCUUUCAAGAGUUUUAAAGCUCUUGUUGAAAAUCAAGUUGAUAAAAAAAAAUCAAAACACUUAGAAUAGACUGUGGAGGAAAAUUUUGCUUUAUUGUGAAUCAAAUGACAUAAAGAGACAAUUGACUGCUCCAUAUUCACCACAACAAAAUGGUAUAUGUGAAAGAACAGAAUCAUUCUCAAUAUGGUUAGGAGCUUGCUUGCAACAAAAAGAGUUCCAAAAAAAUUAUGGCCUGAAACAGUGAUGUGGUCAAUUCAUGUUUUAAACAGAAGUCCAACAUUGGCAGUGAAACACAUGACGCCUCAAGAGGCAUGGAGCGACAAGAAACUCGUUGUUGAUCAUUUUAAGAUAUUUUGAUGCGUUGCAUAUGCACAUAUAGCAAGAAACCCGUUGUUGAUCAUUUUAAGAUAUUUGGAUGUAUUGCAUAUGCACAUAUAUCUAAUGAAAGAAGAAUGAACUUGAUGCCAAAAGUCAGAAAUGUGUAUUUCUUGGAGUUAGUGGAAUUUCAAAAGCUUUCAAGUUGUUUAAUCCCUCAACGAAGAAAGUGAUAAUCAACAGAGACGUUGUAGUUGAUGAAGAAGCUAGAUGGGAUUGGGUUGAUGGCAAUUUAGUUCCAAGUUUAAUAUCAAAUGAUGAUGUCUCAACUGUUAGAGGCUAGUGAAAUUCAAGAUCAACAACCAACAUCACAUGAGCGACAAUCAACUUCACCUCAAAUUCUAACUUAAUCUCAUCAACAUUUAGAAGAAGAAGAAGAAGAAGAAGAAGAAGAAAGGAGAUAUAAUUUGAAGGAUGAAAACUCAAGGAAAAGGCCAGCAUGGAUGAAUUUGACGAUAUUAUUACAGAUGAUGGUGUUUAUUUUGGAUUAUAUGUUGAUAGGGAUCUAAUCACUUUUUAUGAGGCUAUGAAAGAGAUGAAAUGGAAAGAGACAAUGGAUAAAGAAAUUGAGUCCAUUGAAAAAAAUCAAACUUGGGAGUUGACAGAUCUGCCCGAAGGACAAAAAAGCAUCGAUGUCAAAUGGAUUUUCAAGACGAUGUUGAAUGAGAAAUGUGAAAUUGACAAACACAAGACUUGGUUGGUAGCAAAAGGCUGUAAGCAAAAGAGCAUGAGAUUGGUUAUAAGGAAGUUUUUGCCCCAAUUGUAAGGCUGGAUACAAGUGAAUUCGCUUACAGCACAACACUCAUGGCCGAUUCUUCAAUUAGAUGUUAAGUCCAUGGCAACUUACAAGAUGAAGUAUUUGUUGAUGAACCACCUGGUUACGAGAAGGGUUAGAAAAGAAGGUUUAUCGACUAAAGAAAACUCUCUAUGGACUGGUAAAUAUAAAUGUGAUAUUUUUUGGGAUUAGAAGUCAUUCAAAUUGCCCUUACUAAUUUUAUUUAUCAAAAGAAAUAAGAUUCUUGCAAUGUUCAAAAUAACAUAUUGCAAGUCAUUUGCUACACCAACUAAACCUAGCUUGAAGCUGCACAAAAAUGAUGAAGGAAGAGAAAUAGACAACACUUAUUUUAAGCAAAUAGUUGGUAGCCUCGUGUAUUUGAUAUCUACCAAGCUUGACAUCAUGCAUGCUAUGAGUUUAAUUAGCAGAUACAUAGAUAAGCCGACUGAAUGCAUCUCAAUGCAGCUAAAAGCGUUUUGAGAUAUGUGAAGGCGCAAUUGAUCAUGGUGUGUUUUACAAAAAGGAUAUUGAUGUUAAUAUUGUUGAGUAUACUAAUAGGUAACUAUACAGGGGACAUUGAUGAUCGUAAGAACACUUCCAGUUAUGCGUCCAAGUUUAAUUCAGGUGCAAUAUCAUGGUUGUCAAAGAAACAGCAAAUAGUUACACUUCCCACAACCAAGGUUGAAUUUGUGGCAUCAACUUCAAGUACGAGUCAAGCAUUGUUGUGGCUUAGAAAUAUGUUCAAAAUACUUGGAGCUGAACAAUCAUAAACCAUGAUAAUAUGUAAAGCAUCAAGCUGUUAAGAAAUCCAGUGAUGCAUGAGAGAAAGCAAACAUAUGGAUGUUUGUUUUCAUUUUUUGAGGGAUCUAUGCAAGGAAGAGAAGAUAGAGUUGCAGUUCUGCAAGAGCAAUGAACAAAUUACUGAUAUUCUGACCAAACCACUUAAACAACCAGCAUUUGAAAAACUAAGGAUGCUUGAAGUUUGUUGUUCUCAAGGCAUUGAUCAAGGACUUGUCAAAACAAAUCAACCCUAAACUGUUUUCAGCAUAAAUCAGUUUAAGGGAGUGUCAAAUCAGUUCAAAGGAAUGUGAUGGUUAGAUGUUUAGUGCGUGAAGAAGAUGAUGUUGAAGGAAGGGACAAUUAUGCCGUAUGGACCUUUAUCACUGCCAACAGUCAACGAGGAAGAAGUGCAACUAUUGCAAGGGACGAAUUCCCCCUACAACAAAGCCAUAUAAUCUGAAUUUCAUUCAUUCAUUUCAAACAAAACCUAUUCGAAAUAACACUGGGAAAUUAGACUUUAGAAAUACAAUGGCCCUAAAUUCCUACAUUACCAACAUUAACAUUUUCCUACACAAAGGAAACUACAUACAUAAUUAAAUAAAUGAAACUAAGCCUUCUUAGGAGACUUCUUGGUAGCCUUGGAUGGCGAUUUAGGCUCCUUGGUCGCCACCUUUUCGUUUUUCUUUGGUAAAAGAACUGGGUUAAUAUUGGGUAAAACACCACCAUGAGCAAUGGUCACACCAGCUAAAAGCUUCCCAAGUUCUUCAUCGUUCCUCACUGCCAAUAGAACAUGCCUUGGAAUGAUCCUAUUCUUCUUGUUGUCUCUUGCAGCAUUACCAGCUAACUCAAGAACCUUUGAAGAAAUAAAAAGAAAAAAAAACCCCAAUUUUAGAAACAUACAUAAGGGUGUAUCUACACUUUAAGUUUCAAUCAAUCAAUCAAUCAAAUCCCCAACUUCUACGGGGAUAAUUCAACGGUUAAUAUAUAUAUAAGCACAUUUUAACCUAAUUCAACGCUUGGGAAAAAAUGAAAUUACCUCAGCAGCUAGGUAUUCAAGAACUGCAGCAAGGUAAACCGGAGCACCCGUUCCCACACGUUGAGAGUAUCGCCCUUUCUUCAAGUACCGGCCAAUUCGACCGACGGGAAACUGUAAUCCGGCUUUCACUGAACGAGAAACCGGUUUCUUUUUUGGACCGCCGCCUUUCCUUCCUCCGGCUCCUUUCUUCACCUUUGAUCCGGUAUCCAUCGCUUCAAGUGCAAAUUGGAGGAAAAGACUUGAAAAUCCGAUAUGAAAUCUCGCAGUGAAAUUUUCUCGAGAAAAUGUUUGUGAUUUCGUGUUGGAAAAUUAGUUCAAUUUAUAUGCGAAGUGAGAAAAAUGGGAGACAUUUGGCUUACGGAUUUGGAGACUUUGAGCCGUUUGAUAGCUUGUUUAAAGGACGGUGGAUAAGUAACAUCUUUGGCAAUCCUCGUGAAAUGGAACGAUCCAAUCAGCUUGACGGAAAGGGUUAGAUGUAUUAAUAAAGUAAAUUUUUUUUACAUAAAUUUUAUAAAUAGUCACUUAAUUAUUAAUGUGCUUCUGUUUUCAUCACUAAAAUUUAGAUUUAAUUUUUUUUAUUUUCAUCAUUGAUAUUAUUGAAAUUACCAAAUAAUUAUCAUAAUAUAUUAAUAAAAUUAUUUUUUAUUUCAGUAAUAAAAAAUUUAAAAGAGGAUAAACUAUAUAGUUAGAUCAAUCAAUUUUCAUACAUUCUUAUUUUGAACACACACAAAAAAAAAAGAAAUUUGCAAAAAGGACCCUAUUAUUAGUAAAUGUUUUCAUUUUGAUUACUUUAGGUUAUAAGGGUUGACGAAAAUCCUAGCAUGCCAUAUUUUUCUCCCACGUAUGUAUAUAAUUUCCUCCUCAUUCUUCCAGCCCUCAUCUCUCCCGAUCUUCAUCCUUCAACACAGCCCUCCACUUUACGCUACCAUUAACUUGUUGUCACCUCUAACCCGAGCCAGCUCUACAUACCAAAAAUCUCAGCCAAUGCUCCAAUCAUCCAUAACCAUCCUCAACCCCUAUUGCUAAAAUCGACCACCACCUACACUACAUCAACCACCACAUAGCCCACUCGGGUUAGCCAUUACCAUCAUCACUCGUCAUAACGGUGACCAAAUAAAAAAACCCUAACAACCCAAGAACAAAUGUUUUCAUUUUGAUCACUUUAGAUAAUAAGUGUUGACGAAAAUCCUACCUAGCACGCCAUAUUUUUCUUCCUACAUAUGUAUAUAAUUUCCUCCUCAUUCUUCCAGCUCUAAUCUCCCUCAAUCUUUAUCCUCCAACACAGCCCUCCACCUUACACUACCAUCAACUCAUUUUGUCACCUCUAACCUGAACCAGCUCCAUGUACUAAAAAUCUCAGCCAAUGCUAAAAUCAACCACCACAUAUCCGACUAGCUAACCCAUUACCACCAUCACUCGCCCUUACAGUAACCAAAUAAAAAAAAACCCCCAAUAACAAAAAACAUCCACAUAAAGAAAAACUAGUCUCUAAUAUGCAAGAAGAAAAAAGAGAUAGAAGAAAACUAAAAAGGAGAAAAAGGAACACAAGAAAAGAAUUAAACCUUUUUCAGAUCAAUAGUGGACAAUGACACUUUGCCUAAAUAAGUAAUUGUUUAAUUAUUCUAUUAAUUUAAAUUUUUAACAACAAAUAGAUGAAAAUUUAAAUAGAAAUGAUUAGCUUGCUCUUUGGUAUAACAUUCAAGUACUAAUUUGUCUCCAUAUGUUUCCCAGUACAAAACCGUACUAGUAGAUAAACAAGCUCUUGUAUGCUUUCUGGAUUAUGGAUUUUGGAAUUAUGGAAUUAUGAAAAGAUUGUAAUGGUUGAAAGUAUUAAUUAAGCUUUAAAAAAAAAUACAAUGAAUCAUAGAUUCACCUGACUAUCGUCUGCAAAAAUUGUGGGUAAUAUAUGAAUAACUUAAAAAAGCUUUUUGAAUAAAGCCAACAAUAGCUCCAUCUAUUUUAAGUUGAAUUAUACCCGCACCAUCCGACAGUUUUGUUCGUUCGGAAACCAGUUUCAGAUGGCCCCGAUUCUGGUCUAUGUGGAGGAGGUCUGUAUUCCCUUGGUUUGGCAGGGUCCACAAAAAUAACCCAUCCAUGCAAGAACUUGGCAUUCAUUUCUUCUCUAGCCUUCUCAGCUUCUUCAAUGGAUGUAUACGUAACAAAACCGAACCCUUUUGACCUUCCGGUAGCUCUAUCUCUCACGACUUUGGCUGAGACACAUUUUAAACAUAAUAUAUCAUGAUGAAAGCUGAAUGAACAAGUAUGCAAGUACAGAAGCAUAACUCUAAAGGCUAAAGAAAAAUGAGAAACCGUUAAAUUAAACCUUCGACAAUCCGGCCAAACGGGUAAAAUGCCUCUUGGAACUGUUCAUCUGUUGUUUCCCUUGAGAGACCUGUUUGAUACACCAGGAAAAGGGGUGAUAAAAUGAUCUGAAAACGUUUCAGCAGGCUAUGAUUAACGGAAUCGUUACAAGGAAAAUCAUGAUGUUCUCCCUAUUCAUAAUAUUACCAUCUCAGAUGGCAACCGGAGUUCCCCCAAACACUUCAGUAAACAGCAAAGAAGUUUUGACAAAUAAACUGAAGUGCAUGAGGGAACUCUAGUGGGCACCUGGCAUACACCUCUCUUAGUUCUUGUUUCAUACAAAUAAGCACUCGCUCUAGUUAUUUAUACCGCGUUGUACGCUUCUACGUUAUAAAAGGGCCACCCUAGGUCUCAAAAGAACAAGACAGGCUGGUUGAACCUAGACAUGAUCUUGGGUUAAGUGAAAGGGUAAAUAAAAAAAGGACAAAAAGGGCCUUUACCUUUAUGCUUAAUAUUACAAACCCUUCACUUUUAACAAGUUAUGAAGGAAUAUGCAUCUUAUCGGAACAUGCAUUUUCUUUUCCUGCCACUCUUUUUUUGAGUGCUAUUCAUUCUUCAUAUAACCCAAAAUUCUGACUAGGUUCAACAUGAUAUACUCGAAUAUUUUUCCUUCGAAACCCUUGGAGAACUUUAAAUCAAUCAAACAAAAAGUUAUUCUAAGCUAUUCAUUCUUCAUAUAACCCAAAAUUCUAACUAGGUUUUCCUUUGAAACCCUUGGAUAACUUUAAAUCAACCAAACAAAAAGACAGGAUAGCUUAUAGCAUGAAAAAAUGCUAUUCUAAGCUAUGCAUUCUUCAUAUAACCCAAAGUUCUGACUACGUUCAACAUGAUAUACACGAAUUAUUUUCCUUCAAAACCCUAGCAUAAAUCAAUCAAAAAGAAAGGAUAUAGCUCAUGGCAUGAAAGAAAGCUAUUGAAACCCUUGGAUAACUUUAAAUCAACCAAACAAAAAGACAGGAUAGCUUAUAGCAUGAAAAAAAGCUAUUCUAAGCUAUGCAUUCUUCAUAUACCCCAAAGUUCUGAGUAGGUUGAACAUGAUAUACAUGAAUUAUUUUUCCUUCGAAACCCUAGCGUAAAUCAAUCAAAAAGAAAGGAUAUAGCUCAUAGCAUGAAAGAAAUCUAUUUUAAGCCAGUGCUCAAAGCCUUUUGCCUUUUUCCUAAAAUUUGUCAUUUUAAUGCCAAUCUAUCGUAGCAGAUAACUGCCCUGAAUUUCAAAGUACAAGUUAUUUAUAUCUGGCUCAACUAAUCCAAUCCAAAUUAAUUCCUAGAUAUUGGCAAAUACAGUGCUCAAAAUCCUUUCCCUUAGGCCUAAAAUUUUUCAUUUUAAUGCCACUCAAUCAUGGUGGAUAAUAGCAUUAAACUUCAUGGUACCACUAGUCAUUUAUCACGAUUCCGUUAGACACAGCCCAACUAAUCCAAUAAGAGUUAACUCUGAGUUACUUAUCAUUAGGCAUGAUCUCAAUCCAACUAAUCCUAGCUGUUAUUUCAAUGAAUGCUAGGUUCUCAUAUUGGACUAAAGACCCUGAACCAGCUAUAGCAUUGCAAAGGGACUCCUCACUACAACUAAACCCGCCAUAGAAGAUGCCAAAAAACCAGAACCCCUUGCUUGAAAUAGGCACAAUGGCACAACACCAUAAAUACUAAUUCAAUCCUUUGUUCACUUAGAAAAGGUAUAAAAAAAGGCAAUAGCGCUAGUAGUAAUAAAGUUGAUGCCUUUUAAACUUUAAUUAGGCCCUGCUUUGGAUUAACAUCUUAUUAAAGCAUUUAGUUUGGAUAAUUAAAUCACUAUUUCUUUAAUUUUAUAAGUUGGCCUCCAUUUUACAUCUAAAUUCCUUAUUUUAUUCAAUCCAAUUUAUAAAAUUAUCAAUUUUCAAAACAAAAAUUGAAGAAAUGGAAAUGAAUAUAAAAUUAAUCACUUUUAUGGAGAAAUUUAAAGAAUGAUAAAGGGAAGGAAAUGAGAGAAUACCGCUAAUGAAAAGCUUGGGGGAAGUCAGAGUCGAACUGAGACGAAUCGAAGCCAAGUAAGAACACGGAGGGAAGGGCCCGGUGAAGGCGCGGCGGGCUCGGGAAAUAAAAGCCAUCGGGACGGAGCCAAAAGAGUCGGAAAAUUAAGGAACGGGGCACUAUUAGGGUUUAAGGGUUUUUAACAGUUGAAACGAAGGGUCUGAACUAAAACCCUUUUACAUGUUUAAUGUAUUGAUUCGCUGCAUGCGUGACUAUGAAGUGCAAACCGGUGUAACAUCCCAGCCAUUGAUGGAGUCAAUGACCCAUGAUUAUAAAUAUAUAUGUUUUUUGAAUUUAAUUGGGUUGGCCGGGUUGAAUUUUUACAAACCCUGACCCCGACCCCGACCCGAUAUUCUACUGUUAUGUCCCGACUUCAAGUUUAAAAAAAUUUAAUCCGCUCAAACCCGAAUCCAAAGAUUAAUGGUAUACUUGACUCCCAUCUUAUUCGACUUGAAUUCAAACUUUUUUAUUUGAAAUUGUGAUUAAUUAAAAUCAAAAACAUUUUGAAAAAAAAAUCAUGUUUGGGAUGAUUGAGGAAAAAAAUAGAGAAAAGAUUGUAUGAAGUUGUGAUUUUAUGUUAUCAUUAUCCCUUUCCAAUAGAAGAAUAACAAAUCAGAUUUUUCCUCGCGAUUUUUAGCAUUUUUAGUUGAAAAAGGAUUUUUAGAGAAAGAAUUGUAUGAAACUACGAUUCCACUUCAUCCCUAUCUGUUUCCAACAGGAGAAUGACAAAUCGUGAAAUUUUUCAGGAGGAAAAAGCUUUCUCCUAUUGAAAAUGGAUAAAGAUGACGUGGAAUCACAGUUUUAUACAAUUCAUUCUCAAAAAAAUAUUAUAUCAUAGAAGAAGAAAAAAAAACGAAAAUUAGAGGAAGACUUAAGAAAAUAAAUUAAAAUGAGAGAGGAAAAGAAACAAGUAUGAAAUAGAAGUUAAGGUGGUAAAAUGAUAUUAGCUAUGAUAAAGUUCAAGGAUUUUUUUUAAUUUAAUUAAUAUUAAAUAUAUAUAAAGGUAAUUUCGUAAAUAUUUCGGAGCAGGGCGGAACGUUUUUACGCUAAACCUUAUUUUGACCAUUCUCUAAAGCUAACACGCCCUGCCCCAAACCCCAAUUUUAAAAAGAAAAAAAACAACUCUAAUAAGUUGGAUCAGCUCAAAACUCGUUGAUUUUGUAGAAGAAAAAAACAAUAUUUUUGCCUUUAUUUUAAUGGUUUCAACUUAUUUGACUUUUGAUGUAAUUAAAUCUAAUGCAACUAUUGAAUAUCGAAAUAUCUUAAACCAAUAACAAAAAGAUAAAAUCUCAAGUAGAAUCAAAUCCAUUAUUUACUAGAUUCAUAGCUUGCAAUUUGAUAAAUAUUUUAAAUUUAUACAUGAAAUUUAAUUUAAUCCAGUUUAAAAUGUGAAAUUCAAUAUGAUAUAAUUAUAAAUACUUUUAAAUAUAUAUAUAUCCAUUUAUUUCCUAUAUUUUCUAGUUUGUGUUACAAUGAUUACAAUAUUAGUGAUCUAAUUUAUGAGAAUUUUUUUGUUAGUCUGGCAAUAGAAUUUUUAGAUUCAACAAACAAGGUCGAGGAGUUGACAAGUGUCAUAUAAAGAUAUAGUAAAAUAUUAAAAAAAUACAUGUCAAUUUUUUAAGAUAUUUAUGGAAUAAAAAAGUACACUACUAAUAUACAAAAUACUCUAUGGCGACGAACUCAAUGGAGUGAAUUAUAGUGAUCCUGCUAUUGUGAAAAAAUAUGCUAGAUGUGCUCCAUUGGAUGAAAUUUUUGAAUUAGAUCGUGCUACUUUGAAAUCCGAUGGUAUUUUCGUAGCAAUCCGAGGGGUUGGUUUACUUUUGAGCAUGCUUCGUUUGCCUUGCUUUUCUUCUAGCAUGGUGCUAGAACCGUGUUCAGAGAUGUUUUUGUUGGUAUUGAUCCAGAUUUGGAUGUUCAAGUAGAAUUUGGAGCAUUCCAAAAACUUGGAGAUCCAAUUACAAGAAGACAAGUAGUCUGAUGCAAGAUUGCUUUGUUAUUUUUCGCUUCUACUUCUAUUUGUGAUUUGCCAUAGGCUGCAGGAAAAUCUUGAUUUAAAUCGUUGUCUUUUUUUAUUAUUAUUCUUGUUCUUUCUUUAUCUUAUUUGGGAGAUGAUUCCAAAUAAACAAGUACGAAAGCUAUAAUUGUAAACCAUGAUCAAAUUUAUGGAAGCAUUGGUUUAUACAUUUCUCUUAGUAUCUACUCUAGGGAUAAUUUUUUUCACUAUCUUUUUUUGAGAACCGCCUAAAAUUCUAACUAAAAAAUAAAAUAAUUUUUCAUUACCUCAAUUGAAGUAAUGAACCUCCCAAUAUAUAUUUAAAUUUCAAAUAUAUAAUUAGAUAAAAUCAAAAUUUAGAUACCAUAAUAUUGGAUCAUAGAGUUUAAUUUCGAGAUUUAUUCAUUCAAUUAAUUCAAUAAAAUUAUAAAUGUCUAAAAUAUUAAUAAUUUUUUAUAUAAAUAUCAAAUAUAUUAAAAAAAAUAAAUAGUUGAAUUCAAUUAAUAUAGAAGGUCGAACUACAUUAAAAAAUAAUAAAUUAAUAAUAAUUCAAAAGUCCAAUAAUUCUUGGCAAAAAAUAAAAAUAAAAAUCAAUUUUUUAUUCACGAGUUUCCAACCUUGAAUUUCUAAUUCAAUAAACCAAUCCAAUUUGAGUGUUCUUUUUUAUGUUAAAUAAUAAGUUUUCAAUUUUUGUUCAUUUAUGAAUAAUCAAGAGUAUAUAUUUAAAAAACAACUAAAAUAAAUCCAUUAAUCAUUCAAUUGAAUUAAAGAAAAAUAUUACCGAAUUUUCUUUUCCUAGUUGCAUGCAAAAUUGCAAUGCAUGCAUUAAAAAAGGGGUCAGCAUGCAAGGCGAGUUUGGUUGAGUCACUUUUGCUUUAUAAUGUCUUUACAUCCUUCUUCAUUCGGUAUAUAGUUCUAGUUUUGUACAAAAAAAAACAAAACCAUUUAUGGUGGAUGGAACAAAAAAGAAGAACAAAAGCGAAACGUUAAGACCAACAACACAAGUUAGAACCGAUGUUAAUGCCAGAUCCUGGUAUUUCGAUUAAAAGUUAUCCGGAAGGAGAUGAUCAGCAUUAUUCCGGUAUCGGCUCUACCUUUUUCUCCAACAUCAAUGUUCCUUUGAAGAUCGUCAGUUGAAGCUCCUUUUGGUACUUGGAUAACUGAACAUCAAAUAAAGUUUACAAUGGCUUAGUUCUCUUAGUGAUUUGACAUUUGGUAUAAACAGAUCAAAAUAGACGUUCAUCAUGUUAACUGAAAGGGUCGGAUUGGUCUUAAAUUAGGCCACUCGGGUUUUAAUCGAUGCUGUUUAGUUUCAAGUUCAGAUCAUCUCAGGUCCAAGGUACAGAUUUCUGAAAUCAUAGCAUAUUAUGAAGUCUGGGUUAUCUCAAGUUACUACUCAUUUUCAUGUUUGGGUCAUUUCAUAUCCAAACUGUUCUAGGUUUAGGUUUAGGUUUAGGUUUAGGCAUGUUCAUCAUGUCAAUGGGAUGGGUCGGUUUGGUUUUACGUUAGAUCAACUCGAGUUUUAAAAUUUUUAACUAUUUAGAUUCUGUAUAGUUUCGAGUUCAACUCAGGUUAGUUUUAAAAUUUUUACCUAUUUCGAUUCUGUUUAGUUUAAAGUUACUUCUCAUUUUCAAGUUCGUAUCCAGACUAUUUUAGGUUUACAUUGUUUCGAGUUUGAGUUAAUUUUGGGUUGGAUUCAGGUUAUAAACUUUAUGGUUAAAUCAAGGUGAGUUAAGUUUCGGUGUUCAUGUUAGAGUUGGAAAGUUUAUUCAAGUCUUUCUUGUAAAGGUAAAAGAUUUAGACAGCACUUACUUGCUGCUCACUCAUCUUUGUAAAACCAAAUUUCUUCGUCCAAAUCGACAAAGCUUCAUCAGCUGCCGGGAGCACCAGGUUUUCGACAUUCAGGGAACUUAGUAAAUUCUCAAUGCAAGCAAAUAAUGCCUGGAAAUAUCCCUAUAAAAAGACGAAAAUAACAAUUAGUUAGCUUGGUCCGACAUUAUCAUAGUCAUGUUUUGACUAGAUUGGAAGACUUGAGAACAAAACCGACAAACUGUGACAGUGUAGCGGAGUUAGGGAUCUAUCUUAAAGCAUUUUAAGACGAAAAAGAAAUGCAAAAAGGAAUAAACUUGACAGCAAUUGCAUAUUCUUACUUUUCCUUGAUGUUUUCUACUUGUAGCUACAAUAGGGAGCUCGGCAACCUCCCGACCAAAUAUUCUAAGAAGGCCAGCUGAUACAACGACGGACCUGCACAUAUGCACCAUGUAUAAAUUCAUAGAUAAUAAAGUAAUCAACAAGAUAAUAACACCUCGCAACCCCGCGCUAAAGAAUAUAACGAAAGCAAGAGAGCGCAAUGUACCUCACAAUCAAAACCACGCAAUACAUUCCACCAAACUCUUGUCCUGAUAUAUUUCUCCUACAAAGUUCAAAAUCAAGAUAUCGUAUUAACCACGAAUAUUAACAUAUAUUCCUGAGAACUUUUUUUCAAGACAAAAAAGAAAAAAAUGGUGUAAGAAUGAAUACAUACCCAUAGACCAUGACGGGAAUCAAAUCACGACCCGAUUUUGCAACAAUGGGAUCAAAACAUUCCUAUAAAAAAGGAAGUGCAAAUAAUUUGAGCAAACAGGCAAUUCUUACAUACAGCUUAAGUAAUAAAAUAUCUGCAGGAUAAUCAACACUCUAAAGGCAGCUAGUAUAUAUCAUAUAGGUAAAUUCACAAAAAAUCCCAUAGAAAAAACAAAUACUUUGAGACAGUAAUCAAAUUCAGUUACAAAAUUGUUCUAUUUUUGCAAUUCUAAAAGUUUGUAUAGAUGAGUUUCAUGUCAUGAUUGUAUGCUUAAGAAAUUUUCAACUGCUUUAAUAAAAAACCAUAAGCUGAAACGAGAAUGGAAGUAUAUGCAGAUAGCAGCCAUCCCGUAAAUGUCUGUAAGUUCAUCUGUAUUCACUCCAAGAACAAGUUCCUUCUAUAUAUUGUUCAAAAGUCAUAGCCACUAAUGGCACUGAGCUUAUCUUCAAAUUACAAUUUGAAAAAGUUGGGUCAACAUAGAUUGUUCCCAACAAACACACAGUACGACUGAAAAAGCUUGGUUAAACCAACAAAAAGAUCAACAAAAAGGUAUAAAUAUCUUGAGCAACUAGGUCAACGCACUAAAAAACAUUAGUUUUAUAUCAGGAAAAACUUACUCGAAAUAUUGCAGCUGCACUUGAAAGUAGAGGCAGAUGUUCAGAAUAACGGCUUUUUCCGCUCAGUAUUCGCCAUUGAACACAAUCUGUGGCUCCAUCAAUAAGUAAUCCUUUUUCUAAAUACUUUCUUCUAAUUAUAUUUGCAAAUACAGUAGGAAUUAUCUGCACCCCACUGGAAACAUAACUCUGGAGAGCCACAUGAAUCCUGUUGCAGUCAUCGCAACAAAACCAUUUAUCCUCGGGAAUUUCCUGUAGGGUGGAAGAAAAAGAAAAGGUAAACAGUGUUUACUAAACACUUGAAUAGCAUGUAUAUGUUAACAAUUAACCUGCCAGAACAUUCAUUUCAGACUUACUUUCAAAUCACACAGUCCACUUUCCCGCAGGCAACCAACAUGGAACUCCUUCUCACACUACCAAAAAAAAUAUAUAUAUAUUAUACCAAAAAAUAUAUUGCUGGCUUGGAUUGAAAUUGGAUGAGGAAACAGCACAUACUUGGUCACAGAGAAUAACUGUUCGAUCAUCAAAUGUAGAGCCACUAAAGUCAUGACCCCUGACAAAAAAAUAAUCAAUAUCUCAUAACAAAAUAAAAUGGGAAAUAAUAAAUAAAAAUCAGAACCAACAAAAAAAUCCAAAAAUAAAAUAAGAAACCAUCAAGAAAUUAUUGACUUAUAUUGAUGGAGGCAUAGAGGGAUUUAGUCACACAUUCAUCAAGCUCACUUUAAAAAAAUAUUGGUACCAACCUGCAAACAACACAACCACCAAUUUCAAACUCUGGUGAUUUGACAACUCUUGUCAAUCGUAUCACAAUUGGUCUUGCUGUGCUUGAAGCUUCUCCAGAAACAGCUUUCCUACUAGAACCAUGUUCAUCUGCACAAUUUGGACAACACCAUUCACCUUCAGGAAGGUGCUCUAGAUUCAAACAAGCUGCAAAAAGAACAUUCAAUAGUGUUAAUGAUGAAAGGAAAUCUUACACCAAAAAGAAAAUUUAGCAAGAAUAACAGUACCAAUUUAUUUUUACAACUAAGAUGAUGUACAUUGAUAGCAAGAGUGUACAUCCACCAUUUAUUUUUGAAAAUAAUUUGUAUAAAGCUAGUCAUUAUAAUCAUUCGGCAUGAAAGCACAAAUGCAAUUAAAGCUCCAAAUGCUGACCCACAUGUAAGUGUAGUAGAUGAAUUUAUCACAUGAAUCAUUUGAUGCUGACCACUAUAUUAAAUGUUUACAAUACUAACAGUGAAUGAAGUACCUCUCUAAACAAAAACAUAUACCAAAAAGAAACAGUUCAAAAUAGAAGAAAAUACAGACAUGGAUGAAAAGCCUGAGAGCAUUCACAACGAAGAAGCAGAUCUCCAGCAUUUCCACAUACUGCACAUGUAUCAUCACUGGAACCAGUUGUAACACACUGCCCAUUUGCUAAUGACAAUGCUAUAUCAUGAAGCGUCAAUCCAUUAGAUGUAUAGAUGUGGCGAUACCUGUGUAAAGAAAGAAACUUAUCAAAGAAUUGACUUGUAACAUCGUAGAGAAAGAUCAAAUUCUGUAAAGAACACUUACGGUUGUCUUCUGGCCGCCAUUCCAGCAUGUGCUUCAAACUGUGAAGGACUAAGCUGCUCACACCAAAAAAAAAAAAGAAAAAACAUUAAACAAAAGUCAUGAACGAGAGAGGUAAUCCAGCAUCAAAUUGAUAAUUAGAACCUCACCUCUCUCUCACAACAGCAACAUACUAUACCAUUUCCCUGCUUGUAGCCCUCAAGUAACUUCUGAAAAACAUAUUAAGAAUUUUGGUUAGUAACACUAAUAGGCAUAAAUUAUUGCAAAUAAACCAUAUUAUUUCCCAUAAAUUAUUGCACCUGCCCUUUGAUGAAGUAGGUCAAUUCUGCUCCAUCUGGAAGUCCAUUUGGCAUAAAAAGUAACCUGUGUAAAUCAUUAUCCCUGCCAACAGUUUAAAGAAAUUCAAGGUUAAACCAGGCGGAUCUAAGAUUUGCAAAGAGCGGGAGCACAAUAGGCCAUACAAUACCUUUUCUUCAUACCACCAUCAGCAGUUUUCUUUCGCUUCAUGACUGAGUUAGGCCUGCUAAAGGUAGAGCAUUAGUGAAGUCAGAAAUUAAAAAAAUAGAAAAUAAAAACCAACAACACAAGUCAUAGCUAAACUGAAACAUGACAUACACAUGCUAGAUUCUAUUCCACUAAGCAUCCAGAUAAAACCAACAGGGUCGAAUCCUUAUCCAAAUUCAAAACCGAGAUAAUUAAAUGAGAUGGUCUAUCAGAUAAGGAAACAGAAGAAAAAAAAAUUUAGAAGUUGAAACAUACAAGACCACAGAAAUCGGAAUCACCAGAACUUGAUAUUUACCUCAGAGAAUUAGGCAAACUAGGAGGUUUCAUGUUAUAUAUCUUCUCUGCUUGAACAUUUCCGUUACUUUGCUGAAGACUAGCUGCAGAACAUAACAGCAUGUUAAAACAUUAACAAUAGUAACAGUUAAAUGUGGCUCUAUACUGGCAGACAUAAAACCAGGUAUCCCUUUUCUCUAAGAAGGCUGGCAGUAUGGCCACUAAUAUACCCAGAAUAGUACAUUUGAUGCCUAACACUUAAAAUUCAACCUGCCUUGCAACACAAAAAAAAUUGCAAUAAGGAAAAAGAAUCAAGUAUUCUUAUUGCACAACUGCAAGUUAGAGAGCAGAAGAAUCUGCAUUGUUCUAUUUACUCUUGCAUGUGCCACUUGAGUUGGCUUCCAAAUCUAGGGAUAGGUUGCUAUGGCAGUUACAUCAAUUUCCCUUUGUAAUUCAUUCUUCCCCGCUUUCAGUUAAUUUCUAUUACACUAGAUUUCCAAGUAAUACUCACAAGAAUUGGAUGUAUUGUAUAAGCUACUACUUUCACAUAGCAACCUAUCCCAAGAUUUGGAAGCCUGAGACUCCAAAUACAUUUGCCUAUAACAAGGGAAGCAACAUCUAGCAAAAUGGCAGUCCCCUUACUGAAUUCCUAUCUUUUUGUUUCUCUUAGUUUCAAAGAAAUUGACUGUGUAUCAACAAACUCUAUCUUGAGAACGCCCCCCCCCCCAAACAAAAAAAUAAAUAAAUUAUAAAUCUAUUCACAAACUCAAAAGGACCCAAUAACAGAUGGUAUAGGACUACAGACAACCAAGAUAAACCUAAUCAAAGCAUGAAAAAGGAAAUUAGUACCUUUCCAAUCCUGAAAGGACUCCUCAUUUAUAGAUGUACCAGCUACAUCUUUUAUAACUUCAUCCAGAAUGCUGAGUGGAGCAGUCUUGAGUUCUUGAAUA
rnacentral:lncRNA from 1 species